AUCAACACAACUUAAAGUUUUGUCCAAGAUGUUCCUGACACAUGAAGCUUCCAGUUGAAUUUCAGAAAUGUUAACAAAAGUAUCUUCCUUUUUUGCCUGUGAAUGUUUGAGUAUUGCUGUAUUGUUGGCUUAUAUCCACUACAGAUACUGGUUCUAGGCCAGCCCAAGGAUCUUCAAGCAUUGAAGGCUUGAAAUAAUUUUCCAACUCAUUAGACAUUCUUUUUUCUCUAACACGCCCUGAUCCAAAUGGUGUAGAUGUCCUUGGAGAACCCUUUAGAAAAAAAAUCAGUUAAAAAAACACUUAGUAAAGAUAAUUGGUACUUCUUCCUUUAGCUAAAGGUUAGCGGGAAUCACAUUGCUGCUUAAAAGUUGUGACUUGAACCUAAAUAAUGUUCAAUUACAAAGUCCAUGCUUCCUUUAAUCAAGUGUUCCUAUUUUUUAAAAAAAGUACUUAAAGCAAUUCGUUAUUCUCAUUUAUUUAUAAUUCCAUGACCACUGUCAUCUCAAAUACUUUUGUGUCUAAUGUAGUAACUUUGCAGUAAUUAAAUACAAGCAGUGAUGAAAUCAAGUAAUUAUAUUCAAUUUUCCCUCGAAAUUUUCACUUUUUUCAGGAGAAAACAAUACUAUAGUUUUAAAGUUUCUAGAACCUUUCUAGCUCAUGAACAUUUUCUUUACUCCUUAGCUCCAGGCUCAAAAGGGGUAGGGGGUUGGUGUAGAAUACAGCAAGUUGGAAAACCACGUAGUUGCAAGUUGUAAACCACAGAAAUCCCAGACAUGCUAGAGAUACUCUCUCUGUCUUUUGUAUUUACUCUCACUAAAGGAAUGGAAAACUUCCACUACCACCGAUUUUCUUUUCAGGGAAGUUGGAGCAGAAGCCAGUGUAGCUCGAAAGAAAGAUAAAAAAAAAAAAAAAAAAAAGAAAAAGAACUAUUUCUUGAAACAAACUGGCAAGGCCUUUGGCAAACAGGAGGAAAUGGAGAAUUAGGAAAAUCUGUGUACGGGUGGCAGUGUAUUGGUUAAAAGCACGAGGGCUCGAAAACAGAACGUACGGCUCUGCCACUCUUUCGGAUAAUCUUCCGGAAGUCACUCAACUUCUCUAAGCCUCAGUUCGCUCAUCUGCAAAAUUGGGCUAACAAUAGUACCUCAGAGAGGAUUAGACAAAAUAAUCCACGUAAAGGGAAUAUUAGUACCGUGCCUGCCAUAAAGUAAGAGCUCGGCAAACGCUGGCUAUUAUUAUUACCUGGGGGUGGGUCUGCUGCUGCCCUGGGGAGUAGCCGAAUUGCUGCUGGGACCCCGCGGGGGACCUGGAGUAGGAGCCAGGGUAGCCGCCAGGGGACGGAGACCCGAACCGGCCCCCCGGGAAGCUGCCGCCGUGUCGCGGAGAGUGACUGCUCCCGUACGGCCUAGACCGGGGCCCGUACGGCGGCGUGUGGUGCGGACUCCCGUACCCGUCUCGAGGGGAGGGCGGCCGUGGUCCGCCCCCGCCCGGGGUUCCCCGGAAGCUGCUUCCGCUACCCCAACCUCCUCCACCCGGACCAGGGUAAGGAGGAGUUGGGGGCCGAAAAUUCUGUCGCUGCAUAUCAGGAGCCAAAGCCGAAAACCUCGCAGCCGCGUUCUCCC
rnacentral:lncRNA from 1 species